rnacentral:rRNA from 1 species
AUUGAACGCUGGCGGCAGGCCUAACACAUGCAAGUCGAGCGGAUGAGAGGAGCUUGCUUCUCGAUUCAGCGGCGGACGGGUGAGUAAUGCCUAGGAAUCUGCCUGGUAGUGGGGGACAACGUUUCGAAAGGAACGCUAAUACCGCAUACGUCCUACGGGAGAAAGCAGGGGACCUUCGGGCCUUGCGCUAUCAGAUGAGCCUAGGUCGGAUCAGCUAGUUGGUGAGGUAAUGGAUAACCAAGGCGACGAUCCGUAACUGGUCUGAGAGGAUGAUCAGUCACACUGGAACUGAGACACGGUCCAGACUCCUACGGGAGGCAGCAGUGGGGAAUAUUGGACAAUGGGCGAAAGCCUGAUCCAGCCAUGCCGCGUGUGUGAAGAAGGUCUUCGGAUUGUAAAGCACUUUAAGCUGGGAGGAAGGGUUGUAGAUUAAUACUCUGCAAUUUUGACGUUACCGACAGAAUAAGCACCGGCUAACUCUGUGCCAGCCGCCGCCGUAACAC